rnacentral:rRNA from 1 species
AUUGAACGCUGGCGGCAUGCCUUACACAUGCAAGUCGAACGGCAGCACGGGAGCAAUCCUGGUGGCGAGUGGCGAACGGGUGAGUAAUACAUCGGAACGUGCCCAGUAGUGGGGGAUAACCCGGCGAAAGCCGGACUAAUACCGCAUACGACCUACGGGUGAAAGCGAGGGGAUCGCAAGACCUUGCGCUAUCGGAGCGGCCGAUGUCAGAUUAGCUUGUUGGCGGGGUAAAGCCCACCAAGGCGACGAUCUGUAGCUGGUCUGAGAGGACGACCAGCCACACUGGGACUG